AUUCUGCCUGGAGAAGCCCAGCUCACGACUGUUUGCUAUUAAGACUGUUCAGGAGAGAGGGAGCGUCUUUGAGUUCACGUACUUAAUGCUCAGUGGUGUGUCUGUGGAGUGGCAGGAAAUAAACAACAGUGAGGAGGGGUUAACCAGAGACCUGCUGGCUAAAAUCUAUAUGCCUGGAAAUGGAAGGGAGAGGGCUGCAAGGUCAGAUAUAGUUCAAUUGUUUCUAAUAGAGCCACAGAGCUACCAGGCACAGACACAGACACCUAUCAAAAUCUGUACCCGUUUCCCAUCUCCCCCUAAACACAAAAUAGCAGUUGUGCAUCAUGUCAUGUCAGUUUUUCCAAACUGAUCUAGAACGUCCUAAUUCCCAAAUAUAGCAUCACUAGGAAGCUAUACAGUAAAUAGAAGGAGAAGACAGAGAGAUCAAGUAAGCCACCUCUGCAUGGUUCUCCAUCAAAUCUAAAACUCCUAAAUCACACCCUGAGAUGUGUUCUCUAACUUAUUUCCUAAGACAACUCUUUGAUGAAAUAAUGUCCCCAUUCUGCCACAACUGCAUCAAGGGAACAUCCUCACAGAUGGUCAGGUGCAAGUAAAAAUGUUUCUGAGCCUGACAGGAGAUGGUAGAGGUAAAAGCCCUUUCCUUGAAGCCUAUCUACCAAAACUUCACCACUGCACCAAGUCACAAUUGACUCAGCAGGCAGGAAAGUGAAGUGCUUUGUGAAGCCACCAGCCAUGUAUGCAGACAGAGGUAUGGAGGUGGCCAUGGGGCACAGCAUGCGUCAGACAGUCCAGAUGUGGGGAUGGCUUGAGAGGAAGAGGGACAGCAGCUUCCCACUACAUGUGAAAUCUGCAGAGGAAGAAUGAGCUAAGCUAUGCUUCCAAAGAGCUCCUUCUGCUGCAAGAUGCAAAGGAUGCAGCAGACAUGCUCCAGAAGAUCCGUCACAAGCACCAACACUGGCAGAAAUCAGAUAUGGUUGCAGACAUUUUGGCUUUUUCCCAGCAGCUUUUCAUAGAGAAGGAAAACUUUUUUAGAGAAAGACCUGGGAUACCGCCUCCCCCUCUUCCAAAAAACCCCAAAAUCAAACCCAACUCUAUUAACUGAACUGGUGGACAAUGGAAUUGAGGAAACACCCAGUAGCAAUGGAGAAACAUACUGUAAAGCAUAAAGUAGUACUGUGAUUGCAUGCAUUUUUUGCAUACAGAGUAUUUAUAGAUGCUAACCUGGGCAAUUUCAUAUCUCUAGAUAUUUACUCUCUGCUUGUCAAAUGAAAUGGCAUUUUUCAUCCCAUUUUGACUGGAAGAGAGAAUUUGUUUGGAUUAUAAAUUGUUUAGAAUUACUUGUUAAUGCUGUCGGCUUUUCUGUAUCUGCUUGUAGGAGGGACAGGAGGGAGAAAACAAAUAAUGCAUUACACAUAAAAACUCAGUGGAGAAAAAAUAAAAAGCAAGCUCUGUUUUCAACACAUUUAAACUGUUCAAAUGAGAAGAAUCAGUUGCCGUGGAAGCAGAUCUGUAGCUGAAUGAAACCUUUCACCUGUCCAACAUAUGAAAUAUUAAUUAUCUGAGGGGGACUAGAGAUUAAAUAAGCCAGACAUACAAUGCAGAAAGCAGAUCCUGGCUCAUCACCUCCAUGAUUUUCACAGGUCCUGCGGCAGGCAGAUUAGCUUUUGUCAUAAAGAAAGGGAAGUGGGCUCAAUUGCAGUAUUGGGUGUCAGGAGAAAUAAAACUAGCAGAAAGCAACUUCUCAACUUUAAUUUAACCAGGUUGGUGAAGCAAAAUGAUGAUCCUCUGCUGUGUUUAGUAAGGCUGGAAAAUGUUAUCAUUUCCAAUUAGAGAGAAGAGCCCACUGUCCCUUUAGAUAAUUACUUUUCCAAUAAAUUAUUCUUAGCCACUUGUUUCCCAAUAAAAAAAUGCCUAGGCUUUUUGCCUUGUAGAAGUUGGUGGAUUGUUUUCCCUUCUUUUUUAUUUCCUUACUUUGUGUGGGUUGGACUUAAUUUAUUAUGGGGCUGAAACUUGGCAGAGAUCCAGACACAACAAUCUGAAAAAUGUUCAUACUAAAAUUCAGUGAUGGGAUUCCUUGUUCAUUUAAUCUCAGAGCCUCCCUGAUAAUUCAGUCCUGCAAAAUCAAGCACAAUUGAUGCAAAAGUGAGUAUGUAAUUCAGGCAAUUUUAUUUUUCAUAAAAAUACUUCAGACGUUUCUUUUGCUGUAGACACAACCCUGCUUAUGAACAAAAGCCAAAGCCAUUAUUUAAGAAAGUGAUAAUUUUGCAUAGCUGCUUUCAGCAGUGAAUCACACUUGGAAAUAACAUUUUGCCCUUUAUCACAUUCAUUUCCCAGAAAAUCUGGAUUUCCAAGGCCUUUGGCAUCCUUACUAUAGCUAAACAGCUUUAAUGUCUGCAUUCUAAGAUGCUGAAAUUGUCUAAUUAAGCUAAGGGUUAAAAAUAAAGAUAAAAGUCCAUUUUAAUUAAAUCACAAAUGAUACUAUGGUAAAGUAUAUUUCUGCUAAGUCUGGUGUCUGUGUAUGAAGUGACUGAAAAGUUGUAGGGAGUUAACACAAAACACCAAAAUAUGGUCACUUCUUUCUGUUCAUGCCUGCUGCAUUUGGCAAUUACAUGAACAUUUUAGCAAUAAAUAUUUGAUCAGGCAACAUGAUUCCAAGUCAGAUUUACAGGCUCUUGGGUGCUGCACAGGUCUGAUCUUGCCCUAACAAUUAAGAUGGAAGUGAGGUAAGAUGGGGAGGGGAGAAAGAACAGCAGAAGAAAAAAAGCCACGUGGUAUCUGAGCAGUACCACUGAACAAACUGUGCCAAAACACACUGCAGAAACAAGGGGAUCCCUGGCUUCACAGUGCAGAUGACAUUUAUCUCUAGCCCCUUUCACAAAACAAUAGACCUUAAAAUAUUAAUCAGUCCUCUCUUCCAGUUAUACUCUUCUGGCACUAGUCCGGUGCCUCAAUAGAGUGCACUCCUGAUGGUGCAAGGCAGGAGCCCUUUCCAUACCUAGCACAUCAUACUCAGUUAUACACUCUGGCUUUUCCUAGUCUCAGCCUCCAUUUUCAUUGCUUCUGUGCAAAUAACUUCCUCCACAUCUGCUACAGUCCCUUUGCCCUCUCACAGAGUGCUGUGCUUAUGCUUUCCCAAGUCUGCCAGAAAGAGAUUGCUAGGCUCCAAGUGCCCCAAAAAAGCACAGAACGUGCCUUCUUUCCUGCCUCUCCAUCUGCCUGGAAUACCCUCCCUUCUUUCCCACCGUGGUACAUCAAGUACCUUCCCUUUCUUUGAGAAAACUGAGAAUCCAUCUGUUCGGCAAGUCGCUCCAUCUGCAACAACGGCAAGUCCAGUGAUGUGCUGCCAAUAUUCCAACAAAGGGCUCCUCUAAACCCAUUCCCCUGAGUCACUAACACAGCCCACGUACCCAGGGUGGGGAUGCUCGCAGACAGGAGGCGUGUGGAACUGGCAGGCUUUUUUCAUUUGGUUUUCCCAUUUCCACAAAAUGCUUUCCCAUAUCCAAGGAAAGAGGUAGCACCAUUUGGCAAAUACAUUUCUGUUACGUGCCUCCCACCAGAACUGUUAAUAUUUUGGUCUUGGGAAGAAAAGAAUAACAAACAAAAGAACCCACUUUGUUGAGACAGUUGCAGUGUGUGCACCUGGACAAAACACAAGGGAUGACAGUGGUAGUGAGGGAUCCAACUCCCUUUAAGGGACUCCUCAGGACUGUAUCUGUGUCAUAUAUUCAUGUGUGUAUGAACACGUGUGAAUUAGACAGUUGCUUUUACAAACUGUGGCUGCUGCUUUUGCUUCAAAAGCUGUUAUAUCUCAGGCAUUUUAGAAGUCCAGACUUGAUAGUUUUUCAUACGUGGUUAUACAGAAGCUGAUACAGGCAGGCCAAGAUGCUCUGACUGCAUGUGCUUUGGAUUGGCCACUUUUCCUGUUGCUGUUUAUUAGCAGCACAGUGUUAGAUUUGUGACAAGUUUCAGAGACAUAUAAAUGGCCAGCUGUUAAAUUAAAUUAAACGCCUGAAUUUUUCGAAGGUGAUAGUAUAAUAUAUUAUUUGCCUUUUUUUUAAUCAGCAGUUUUUAGGAUGGUUUUCACAAAAAAUAUGAGAACACUCUGCAGAGAAAUAGGAUAACAACUCUGUUCUGUUGGAACACAUGAUCACACCAAAUCUCUUACGCUGAUUGCUUUUUAAAUAAAGAAAAUUAAACCAAACAAAAAAAAAUCCCAAAACCCAAAACAAUCAAUCAAACAAAACACAAUAAAACAACCUAAAAUUGGACUCAACAAUUGAGUGUAGAGUUCAACAGAUGACUUUUGUUGGGUUUGAAGAAUAAAGAAUACAAGAUUAGCAGGAGUGGUUGCCAUCAUAUAGUUUAGUUUGAUAGCAGUAAAAUUUCAUACAUGUGCAAAUUAUAACACUACAUAAUCUCUAUUUCUAUGCCAGGAAACAAUUUUAAAAGCAUGUUCUGCUUUUGUCUACUUUGGCUGAAAAAUAAAUGGCAAAGUGUCAAGCCUUUUACCUAGAAAUGCAGGCAAGGCCAGUGUGUCUGUCCUGUAAGGAGUUCUUCCAGAAAGAAAUCCUGAUCCUUAUCUAGCAGAGCACAUCAGCACAUUUUGGAGAUCACCCAUCUGUAGCAAAACACUGUGGAACAAGUUCAUGUUUAAAGCAUUUGCUGAACAGGCAGAGAUGAGGCAGGUGCCCAGUCAGUCUGUGGAGCUGUGACCUGUUUCACACAAGACACUGCCAUGCUCAGAGCUGCCCUGCACAGCCACCCCGCUGGCUCCUGCAACACCAUGGGUCCUCCACACAAGAGGUCUGAAGAUCACACCAUAUAAAAAUAGCAAAAGGCAAGUACAGCCAAAUCAAAGGAUCACUGGGAACUUUCCUUUCAAGCCAGGACAGACAAAAACUUCUUAAGCAGAGGUGUGGUCUGAGAGGGAUGGAGGACUGCUGACCCAGGGCACAGACACGCAGAGCCCCAAAAAUCCCACCAGCUAAACUGGUAAGGCAUGAUAGCAUGGGUGGAACAUAAGGAUCAUUCUCUCCUUUUUGCAGACAACAUGAAAAAAAUGAGGUGCAGACAAAAACCCCAGAAGUUAAAAUCUGCUAAAAAUCUUCUAAGGCAAAGCUAUGACAAGAAUUUGAAAUUAAUCCAGAUCUGCUGAAUUCUACUCUGAUUCUCCAACCAUCAGAUCAGCAACCCUCCUGGCUUUAAAGGAAGCAUUCAAAUCAUAAGUAAAUCAAUUUAUAUUUCUGUCAUAUUAUCAUGGCAAAGAAGUAAAAAUGUUUUGCAAAGAAUUGUCCAAGUUACUUGUCUCAGCUGAGACGGGCUGAAACAGUUAAAGUGGGGCAGAGAGUUUGACACUCAUAGGAGCAUUUUUCUCUUCCAAACAGGUGUGUGUUAAUUGCCUUCUCAUUUUUCUCUAUUUUCUUCAAAUCUCCCAUAAUCCCAGUAAUGUGUCUGGCCCACUUUCACUUAGAUUUGAUCUUGGCAAAGUAUCUUAUCAGUCUUCUCCCUAAUCCGUGCUCCCACAGUAACUGCACGGAAAGUCAGCUCAUUUUCCCAGAGUGAGUUCUUUAUAAUCUAUACAACUCUCAUCUGUUUAAAUCAUGUGAAAAAGAAUACAACAUCCCAUACAAAAAGCUCACUUUUCCUUUUGGAAAAAAAAAAGUUCCUGCCCUCACUAGUGUAUGAGUGAGCAGGAACACAAAGCCACCAGCCCUAACUUGAAACCAGAGGGGUUAUGUUAGGCCAUAAGGGGUCCAGUCAGUUUGUGAGUGGGAUGGUUUAUAAUAUACCAUGACUUUGAAACAUUCUGUAUUUUCAGGCUUGUAAAGUGAUACCCAGCAUACAAGCCAAGUUGGGAACUACAUAAGAGAAACUAGUUGGGCUGUGUUUCCUCUAGCAUCCAUACUUAAUUCUCCUCUUCCACCUGUCUGCUACCACUUUUUGGCCUCAGUGCACCCUGUGUCCACCCUGUGGACCCUUCUCUCCAUGGAUGCUAUAGGCCUCUGCAGGAAUGACACCUGAUGACCUAGUCAUGAGAUUCUACUGGGUUACCACUGGAUCACUGUCCUUUGCAAAUGCUGCUUGCAAAGAGGAGGGAAGAUGACACUGAAAUGCAUGAGUGGAACGAUCUUGUACUAAAAUUCCAUGGUGAUCAUGUUAGUCUGAUCCUUUAAGCUGACCACAAGCUUCCAAACUGAGAAUGUAAGUGCUGAUGAUAGGAGCAAAUUAGUGACACAAGAAAUACCCCAGUGUGAGCUCUGACAACCAAAGGAUGUCAAACUUCUUCUCUCUUGCCUUCCUCUCUCUGAGAAAAGAUCUGUUUCUCAAAGGACAGACUUGUUUCUAAAAGCACACAUUAGCACUGAAGCUGGACAACACUGCAUGCCAUUAAAGCAUUGGCUGCAGCACAGUUUCAUCUCCAACACACACCUGAAGGAUCCAUCCUCCUCAUUUUUUUCUACAGCCCUUGAACAUCCCAGCAUUCCAAUGCAGUAUCUUUCAGUCAAGCCUAUAUAAAUUGUCUCCUAACACAUAUGGGCAUGUGUGUGCAUGUACUAACAGACCCACCAACCAACUAACAAGCAAGCCAUCACUGUGUAUACUUAGCCUCCAACUUGGUCAGUAUCCUAUUUUAAAUUAUCUCUCCUCAAAUAUUUUCUCCACAUCCCCUCAAACUUUUUUACUGCUUCAACUCUGUGUACAGCUGCUUCUUCAUGAGGCAAUUUUGUUGCUCAGUUAACUAUCACAUUAAUCAGGUGAAUGUGUCUCCCUAGUAUAUCUAACAAUUGCUCAUUAAAUCAGGUCUCCAGUACUGCUGAAAAAUAAUUAAAAACCUGUUUCCAAUAAACAAGCUAUAAAGGCAUUAAGGACAAAAUAGUGCGUAGGAAAUGUAUUAGAAACACAGGGAAAGAAAAUUCUGACCAGGCACAGGCUGGGCAGAUUUAGCUGAAUACUGCUAUAAUUGCUCAUAGUGUUAGGCUAAUAGUAAAAAGAAAGUUAUAAAUAUUCUCUUCAAAUUAACAAUGAAUGUACUGUGGCUGAAUACAAGCUCCUUUUAUGUUUGCUUCCUACAAAGAGUCAUGCAAAUUCAAAGCUUGUAUGCUCCACUGUUUGUUUCCAGAAUAGGGGGUAUAAUUGAUACGGGAUUUACACAGCUUGACAAAGCAAGGGAGGCCAGGCUCCCCAAAUCUUUUGGAUCCAGCACACAAAGUUAAUUAAACACACUGUAAAGGAACUGCACCGGUUACCUGCAACUUCUUCAUCUAGCACCGUGCACGAGGAUACCUAAUUACAGUUUGUCAGCAACUGGGGUGAUGAGAGAAACCUGCCAUCAGGCAACUCAAACAAAUAUAAACUAGAGGUAAUAACACUGCCAUUGAAAGAACAACAGACUAAAUUUGUCAGUGCUUCCUCAGAUUGAGCUUUUCUUCUCUGUGUCACCAUUUGAUCAAGAAGUAAAAUUUAAAAACACAUGGAAGAAAGCCUGCUGUUUAUUGAACGUUAAGUCUUCAUGGAGUCCAGAGCCUUUAAGCAUAAAUUACAUUGAUGUUUCCUUGCGGAUUGAUUUUAUAUAUUUUUUGUACACAGUUCAUAUUAAUCUAAUGAGCUAAAGAAAUAUCAGUGCAAUGAAGGCAAACAGAAAUGGUGAGCUUUAAAAUAGAGUUUUGAGAUUUCAAAUGUUUUGAGGUCUAUAAUGUCAUAUUUCUUCGGUGAUUUUUUUAAGAAAAGGUGAGAAAAUCACUGUUGCAAGAAAGGAAACUUCCUAAGAACAAAUAUUUAUGGGGUGUCACUGACAUAUAUUUUGCAACAUAUAUGUAGGUUAAGAUAGACCAUAACACAAUUUGCUAAGGUAUGAAUCAACUUCUGGCUUCCUAUGUUGUAGUGCCUUACAACAUCUGUCUGAUGCUACAACAAACAAUAUUUUCUUUCCCUGAAGAAAUAAUCUGGCUUCUAUAUAUCAGUCAUUCAAAAAGGGGACUCUCGACACGUCCAUAGGCUGUGUUUAGGAAGCAUUAUUUGCCCAUAAGAGUCACAGAUCGCUAAGCAGAUUUACAGGCUUGCAGAGAAGUUAUCCUCACUAAUCUUUGCUUAAGAGUAAGUUGAGUCUGAUACGACAGCUAAGCAGCUUUUAGUAUUGUAUCGAGUUCCGCUUCGCUGCUCAUAGUGUCUUUUUUUCCUGCUAAAUGAUCAAUCUCCAUUUAGGCAUUGGGGGGAAAGGAAAGAUGAAAGAGGAUGGAGAGAAGGCAAUCCUAGUCUUCACUUGGCCCUCUGUAAAGCACAACAAUUCCUGAUCCACUGAUGGUUUCUGUCUUGAACUGGGCCAAAAGCCUUGCAUGAGGAGAACAGGGAGGGAUUAACCAUGUACAUCACAGACACUUGCAGGCAAUAAUGCAAUACAAUACAAUUAAUACAUUCAAAUUAAUUAAUUUGUUAUUAAUGUAAUUAAUACAUUCAAAGCAUCUAAGAGACUGCCUCAUGACUGUGAAAGUCACAAAAAAUUUAGAUUAUUUAUAACCAAAUAUUUUACCUUCUUUCUUUAAUUAUUCUUCGGAACUUCUCUCUUACAGAUAGGGAAUAUGAAACAUCAUAUUCUACUUUCCUAUCCCUAAGCAUUUAUAAUCUGUAGAAAGAGAAAAAAUGUUUCAGCAUUGACUGAUCUACAAAUUGAAUUACUUUGAUCCUCUUUGUCAGGUGAAGAAGCUCAGUCUGCUACUCUUAGCAAGAAAUUUUAAAAAAAGGAGAAAUGUGCUCAUUUAUACUUUUUAAAAGAAUCCUGCUUGUUAUAAAAGAAAAGCCAGUAAACUAAAUAAUCUCUCUACCCUUAGCUGCCCAGGUGAGAAGUAGAGAAUAUAGAUGAAGCCUUCACACCUGGGGCAAACCUGAGUGCUCUCAGGACAGUGAAGAUGCAACUCCCAAAACUGAAAAUUCCCCCCAAUAACGCCUUGUCUCCAGGCCUGAGAACUAGGACCAGUAAGAGUGCAACUGGCACUUUUGCAGUCUGUGCUAGCAUGCAGAGCUAGGUCUGAAUUACAUACAGCACCACACUUUCAGAUCUCUGGGUAUCACACUCUGUCCUGGAUUACACCUGGAAGAAUAUACAAAGAAUGGGAAGCCAGUGUACCACAUACCCUCCACAUGAUACUAUGUUCACAUUUCACCUUGCCAGAAGACUCUAACAGUAUCAGUCCUGUCUCUGUCUGAUGCUAAAACAGACAUAUCUGUCCCUCCAACACUCACUGAUCCACUGGUCUGAGCAAACAAGGGGAAGAGCCUUGGCAAUGCCAUUUCAAACCUUGAAACCACCACAUCAGAAAUUUUUGUAGAAAUACCAUCCUUUUUGUGAUUAUAUAAUGCUGGAAAUUCACUCUGCACAGCACAGCCAUCAAACAUUCUAGCUGCACGUGUUCCUGCAUCCCCACUGUCGCAGUGGGCCUGCCAAAGUCCUGUCCUGCCAGCUAGGAUUUGACAUGCUGUGAAAAGAGACCUUGAAAUCUGAGCUGCUGUGCAGCUCGACUUGCUGAUAACUGAUCUAUAUGAGAUAGCAUGACAAAAUGUGAACAACGAUGCUUGACAUCCCACAUGCUAUCACAUGCCAGAAAUGUUUGGAGGGUGGAACAGAAUGACAUAAAAAGAAAUUAUGUGCAGCAUACUUUUCUUUCCAUGCUAGUUAAGUGACAUUGUUUUGGCAGUUCAGUCUGAUGCUGUAAGUACAUUAUCCUAUAUAUUUUCUAUUUAGAAGAGAUACACUAAUCCGACAGAGGAAAGAUUUGACUUCCUUUUAUUCCAGUUGAAGUUGCCUAUAUUUAAAUGCAAAGUACACAUAAUUUAAACAACUGCUGGUAAAUAAUCUCAUAGACUAAACCCCAGGCCAUCACACUUGUUUCUCUAAACAAGGUAGAAGACUUCAUUCUCUCCACCUGAAUUUUCUCAGCUGAUUGAAAGUAAACAUAUAUUAAAGCAAGACUAUAUAUAAUUAUGUUUUUUCAUUAAAGAACAAUGGAUGAACACAGAGCUUUUUCCAAAUCAGCAAUUGAGAGUAUUUUGCAGUCUCUCAGAGAAACAAGUGGCUAAAGCACAGACAUUGCAAAGUUUCAUCUGCCAGGGAUCAACUGCUCUGGGAUAUAGCUUGUGCACAGAAAAAGCUUUGCUUCCCUCUCCAUUAGGGGUCUGCCUACUCUAAAAAUUAGACCACAGAAAAAAGUGGAGGGGAAACAAGAAACAGUCCAUUUUUUCUUUGUCCCUAAAGAAAAAAUGUUUAGCUUUCCUUGGCAGAACUUUUUCCGCCUCACAUUUACCAGGUUUUAAUUGUUUGGGGUUUGUUUUGGAUGUUUGUUGUUUUUUUUCCCUCAAUUCUUUUCCAGCUCUACCCUCAGUCUGAGAAAAAUCUAAAAUUCCACCCAAAUGGCUACUUUCCUGUUUAAACAUACUAAUGACACACUAAUGCCUUACUAAUGCCUUUCUCACAAGCUUUGGUUUAAGGUGUUCCUCUCUCUGUUUUCCUGAGGAGUCCCUGUUUCUCUUUGCACCUGGUAGGAAACAAACGCUUCAAGAUGCAGAACAUCCUGAGGGCUCCUUCUCAGCUGACACUGUCAUUAUACAGAUGGUGUGCCAUCCCUGGCUGGGCUGUGAUUUUAUUUAUUUUGCUUUUUCUCAGUAGAAACAACAGCCAUUGAUCCCCUUGCCAUGCACCUGCCUUUUUACCUGUCCAAUCUUACACCCAAACACGCCACUAACGACACUGCAAUGGAUGAGCUGUGUACACUCUAACUCAGGAAGUGAUUUGGUAAAAUUAACAUUUAGAAGCAGGCACCAGUAGUUAUUUCACACAUUAUUAACUUAUAUUACAAUUCAAAUAAGCUUACAGCUGGCAAAAAAAGUCUCUUCUGUAAAGUGAUCUCAAACAUAAUAGGCUUAAUCAGAGAUAAAUUAAAUUAGUCAGUCAUGCAUACUACAGCAUAUUAGCACUGAGUAGUUAUUAAAUACAUUUUCUGUUAUCAGUUGUGCAGGCAGUAUUGUAGCAAACAAAGUGCAUGGGAAAACAGUAAAUAAAUUUUAUGUUUGGGAGGCUACAUGUUUGACAUUUCCUAGGUUUUAUCAAAUGUUACAUGAUCUUUACCACUAUAACUGCCACCAAGUUAAGUCCCCAUAAAUGAUUCAACUUCACUCCCAGGCAAUUAGCCAAAAGCAGAGCAGACAGAACUAAUGAAUACCUAGACAGCAGAUGUUCAGCGUAGUUUUGUGUUUUGGAGGGGAUUUCUUCCAUGUCAGUUUUUGGAAAGAAAAAAGCAUGGAUGGAUGAGUCAUAGCUGGUACACAAUUGAUAAAGAGGAGACAGGCAACAUUUCUAUUUGUUAUAGAAUUAAUCUUUGUGUUUAGAGCUUUUCAAAAUUUAUUUUCUCCUUUAGUUUCAUAAAUACAGUUUGAAAAGGUUUUGUAAUUGUGUGCAAAUAUUGGAAGGCAUUGCUGUUGCCUUGCUGCUAUCGUAACUUCCUUUCCUACUGCUGCUAUAGCAGCCAGCAGCAUCACCUCAUGUCCAGCUGAAAAUUUGUGUGAAAAAGAAUACAACACAAAAUCGCUCACAUGCGCUUUACACGAAGAAUCAUUACUUUUGUGACAGGAUCCUAAACCCAUAUUUUUGUUCUCUCAUCCAUCUUUCAGAAACCCAUCAGUACAGUACUUGGAAAUAUCAUAAGUUGCUGAACCUGACCGGAAGACUUGGGAGCACAUCUGACAUUCUCUUACACUCUGCACAUUUAAAACUCAAUGUAAGGUGACAAGAACAUUAAGCUGCCCACAGACCAAAAUGUGAAACUAAUCAGUAUCUGUUCUGAGCCACAGGUACAAUAAUUGGAAAAUUAAAGUGCCUGUGAACUGCUAGGGCUGGCUGCAUCAAAAAGCAGCACCUUGAAAUGAUUAAUGAAGACAAAUGUAUGCAACUAUUUCUAUUGACAACAACUUCAGACAAUUGCAGACUUAAAAAAAUAACACUGUAGUUCUCAUUUAUUUUCUCUAAAGCUUGCUGCUUCAAGAAUCACUUGCUAGGAAACGUGUAGGCACUCACUGGUUAAGAAGUGUUUUAAGUAGGAACUCCUUUAACUCAGAUGUGGAAAACACAGCUCCUUUGCUGUGCUUCCUGUAACUAUUGUCUGUGACAAUUCUGGUACAGAGGACAUCAGUCAUGACAGAGGCAUUCAGCAUCACACCCUUCGCCUGAAAAUGUUAAUAUGACCUGUAAAAAUAAUAUGCCUAAAACUAAUAUGUGAUGGCAGUGCUCAACAGACCUCUUAAGAAAAUCAUUCACGGCAGUGCUGUUUCAAAAUGUACCUUUCUGUCUUACUGCUCUCAUCACACCCAUCAGUGGCAUGGCCAGUCCACUGGAUGAACAGGAUGUCCUAAAGUGCACCAUCAUGGAUGGGGCUACUGCCAUGGCUCUGAACUGCACAAAGCAGGGGCUCCUUCUCUUAGGUGUGAAAGCGGGAGUGAGGCUAAAAAAAUGUUUUUCGAAAAGUAAAUGAUGUAUACAUGCGCACAUUUAUACACACAUAUCUAUGUAAAAAUUAAUGUGAUUUUUUCAGUUUCCUGCUCCCCUUUAAAGUCCCAAUAGUAAAAAAAAAAAUUCCUUCUGUUCUCUGAGACACUGGAGUUGAGUCCCAAGCAGAAAAAAAUCAGUCUAUUUUCAAACAGAACUUACUGAAUCUUACUAAGAGAACUCCCAGGAUUUUGAUAGAAUUCCCAAAGUCAAAGCAUGUCACAUGAUUGAAGUCACACUGGAACGAAAAGUUAGCACUAUGGGCAACGAGUAUCAAUUACGUUUUGAAGGAGAAAGGCUUCACCACUUUGAAGGCAAUCUAAAAUACAAAUGACCAGCCCUGCAUUCAGAGUAUGCUAUGACUAUUCAAUUAUACAUAUAUUCAGAAGCUUGGAAAUGCAACCAACUGUUGUGUCUUUAUCGGGCAUGAACAUGUGUAGUUGUGCUGCUUGUGGAGCUGUAUUCAUUUCUGCUUUCUUCCCCCACACAGUUUCCCCCACCACUUCUGAGUGAGACAGUGCUCAAUCUGUUUCAGACAAGUCGUCUUCAGGCCAGGCUUUUAGGAAAAGCCGUAAGAAUGGUCUGCAGCAGACAAGCAGAAUUUCCGCAUGUCUGUUUAUUUCCAUUAGAAUAAUGUUUUGGAUGAAAAUGCGCGCUUGUGAUGAUGCAGCUGUCCAAAGGCAGGAUGUUCUCACACAUUACAUUUUCUGUCCUUUUCAGUUACCCAUGAUGAAAAAAUAUAAAGUAAUAUUAGAUAUUUAUAGACGUAUUUAAAGUACAGUUGGGAAAACCUGACUGUGACAAAGAAAAGUCUCUGUGUAGAUACAGGUCUAUAUUCUAAAUCUAGUCAGUAAAGGCAGCAGAGACAGGAAGUUUUUAGCAGCUAAAAUAUAGGAAAUCUGGUUUGACUCCGUAGCUCUUCCAAGAAUUUACUGCAUCUCUCUCACUUAAAGAAAAACAUAAAAUAAGGAAAGACUGGACAGUUUUCAUCAUACUCUUCUGGAGCAUUCACAUGCCAAAGAGUAAGCUAUUCUGAGGUGCAAUUUCAUAAGGUCUGCCAAAUGCACCAGAUUCCCAAAAUUAUAAUGCACAAAGUUUAAAUUACAAGUUGAUCCUUUUCAAAACUCUGUAAAAAAGGGCAUUUUCACAAGUACACAGUCACAGCCUCCCGGCCAUCAAUGGCAUGGUUUCCAUUAAAUAAAAUAUGAAUAAAAAUCUAAUGACAGAAAAGGAAAAUUUUGUUUCUCAAAAUGCAUUGCGAAGCUCACAUCCCAUCAUCACUACAGCUCUAAUGCCCCAGUCAGAGCUGAAUAACAAGUAAUAGAUUAAAAAGCUCUGAAUAUGCACUUGAUAGUCUCCUCUUCCAUUACUCUGCUGCACUCUCUGCUCUUUUCCCAUCAUUAGUAUAGGAUAAGACUUACAGGAAGAGAUUCUUCUCCGACACAGCUAUUGAAAACCCGAUAGUCUGAUUUCCAUUAUUCAGUUUGAUUUCUGUCACCUCUCUGAAUCCAUUCUCACAGAAACAUAGAUUUCUUAACAUUCAUUACACAAAUGUAACUUCAUCAUUAUUCACAAGCAUAAUAGCAGCUUCAUUGUGCACCUGUUUCUUGUCUCCUAGCUAAAACCUCUUUUAAAGAAUAUCUUCACUCCUCACUCCUGAAAUUUCUUCUUUACCCUAGAGCAGCAUUUCUUCUUAUUAGCUAUGAUAUACUUUUCAAAAUCACCUGAAAUACUCCUCAAAACCUCCACAUUUCCUGUUUUAUGUCUGACAUGCCUCUUCUUUCAGAUUCGAGUAUUAUAGACUACCCCAGGUUUCAGAUAAGAAACAUUCAGUGAAGUACUACAUGACCACUGCAGAAUAAAAAAAAAUUCAGCUUUAAAAAUAGAGCCUGGACAGUUCACCAAAAGUAUAAUAAACAUACGUUCUCCUGCAUAAGCAGUAAGUAAACUGCCUUACGCAUACAGGUUUUAUUGUCUGCUUCCAAUGAAUUUAUCUUAUUUUCACUAUCAAUAAAAAAUAUCGAUUUGGGGAAGCAUAAAAUGAGUUUAAGGAUGAAUUUUUAAAACUCUCAUAAAAUGAUGGAUCUACUAAGUAAAUACAUUGAUUUUGAAUGCAAUGAAAUAGCAAACAUUACUUGUUUUCUGUGAACAUGGAGAUGGGCAGAGGUGAAGUCAGGAUUCCCCCUAAAUGCCCUGUUUUUCAGUGGUUUCACAAUUUGGCCUGCAGACUCUCACUGCAGACUACAUUUGGCAAAGAACACGUCAGCCUGGGAGUAUUUUCUUGCCACAAAUAAUUUUCAAAACAAAUUAAAUCUGGGUCAUUUUUAUGUAGUUAGCAGUGCAAAGGACAUUUUCUGUGCUUGUUAGUGGUCUUCAAAAAAAAGGGCUUUGAUUUUUAAAAAUUCGAAACUUGGCAAGCGAUAAAUCCAUAGAACUGUGCAGUCAAAUCUCUUGGGGUAUUCUGAAGGCGAACUCAGUUAAAAAAUAAACAAAGGGUUUGACUAAUUAAAUAAAAUUAAAUAAAUAAUAAUAAAUAAACCUAAGGGUUUGACUUGUUAUUUUUGAACAGAAUAUUUACAGUUCUUUUUAUAUGUGAGGCUUUCCAAAGCUAUUCCUGUUCUCCAAUAGAGAUGUAAAGAAUGUUUUAGCACACUCUUUAGCAUAUAGUCCUUUGGCAAUGCAUAGGUUAUAAAGGUGUAUAGGAGAGAUGACACCAGAGAAAAAUAGCCCUCAUCAUUUCAGCCCAUUGCUUUGCUAAUCUGCAUCGACAAACCUAUUUCAAUACAUUUUUAAUCCUAAGAAAGGGACACUAUGGUCUGUGUUGAGCUCACCCCUGCUGUCCACCAGUGACUUCAUGUGAAUUGUCUUAAGUUAAAUGCAGAAAAAAUGGUGACAGAAUUAAUUCUCAGCUCUGACUAAUCAGACUGGGAUCUGAAAAGGAGAGGUACAUUCUUCUACCUACAUCUUUACUAGUAUCAAAAGACUGGCAAACAAUGUUAGGCCACUGUUUAUAGUUCUGUUACCCUGCUGAUUUCAAAACCUGUAGUCUCUUCCACAGCUGCACAGACUUUAUGUCUUCAGCACAUUUGCAUUGGUGACAAUCACUUAAAUGUAAAGAAUGACUUUGCUGCUGUGGCAGUAAAAAGGGAAGAAAACCCAGUUUCCUCUCCCGUUGUUGCACUCUCCUACACACUCAGAACAAAAAGCCUGAAUCCACUGUAGACACUGAAGAGGAGUGGAUGUAACUCUACAGAAACAGGGAAAGGACCUCUCAAAAGAUAUACCAUUUCACUCUUUGGCAUGCGAAAACAAAUUGAUAUCCAUACCUCCAGCUGUUGCAUACAAAAAGGUGGUCAAUUCCAUGUAUAUUAGUGCUGUUAACUGUCCCUUCUUCCUCCCUGCCUCUGUGGCAGAGGUAGCAGAAGAGGACAUGCCUAUAUUCCAUUUACUCCUACCCAUAAUAUCACAUAACCAGUUUGGUUCAAUCUAAAAUGCCAACCUCUGUUGGGGCUUGGCAGGUGUAAGCAUAUGAUCCCUCUUCUGCUGCUCUUCACUUCUCAGGCAGCAGCCUCAGGAAAUUACUCUUGAAUUACCAAGCAGUAAUUCAAUAUUUUUGCAAAUACUAGAGCACAGCCUGACUGUAAGGCUGGAACUCUGGACCCUUUUGUAAGGCUGACUUUUUAACAAAGUGUAAAAAUUCUGCUGUGACACAGAGAGCCUGCAACUAUGGAAAGUACCCACGUGCACUUGGGUUUGCACUUAGGCAGAUGGACAAGCAUGCACAAAGCUGGUUGUCAUCAAGAGGAAAAUGUGAUACUAGAGAGGGCUCUAGCAGCAUGGAGAACCCACAACUACCACCAGAUACCUGCAGUCCUUCAGAUCAUUCUGACUCUACAGUGCAAGUGUUGGAAAGUGGAUGGAUGGAUGGAUGGAUGGAUGGAUGGAUGGAUGGAUGGAUG